UUCUUAUCCAGAGCGGCGGAGGGACUGGCCCGACGAUGCCCGGCAACCGGCAGGCGAAAGCUUGUAUCGGUGCUAAUUCCUGUGGGAGUGAUCCCAGAAGAUGAGAA
rnacentral:ncRNA from 2 species